GAUGUGACGUGCCAUCUUCAUUUCCUACAUUGAAGAAGGAAAAUGUUGUUAUUGAAAAAGAUGUUUUAGAUAGGUAUGUUUGAAGUUAGUUUACUGGUAGGUUUUCAGGGUAGGCCUAUGCAUGGAUAACUGAGUAUUAUAAACAAAUCAGUACUAGACAAGUGGAGGAAGAGGCCCGCUGUUGAUGUGCCGAGGACCCCCAGUGGGUUAGGUAAUUGCUUCCGGCAAAGGCCUAUAACAAAUGUGUUGACAAAAUCCUUCAAUAUUAAGCUAGAGUUACCAUUGUUUGGUUACAACAUGGGAAAAUAGAGGGAGUUGAGGGGGGCACAGCAUUGAGAUAGGUUAGAGCUGUGUGUAGUACGAGCCUCCCAUAGCUCAGAGGGGCCAGCCUCAGACAGACUGGUUAAGGAGUGCUACGCGGCUCUCCCGCCUUGGUGGGCGCCGAUUUAAUCCCCGGGGCCGGCAAAACCUUCCCUUGUCUGGAUUAAUUUCUCGUGUGUUAAGUUACAGACUGUGCUCGUGUGAGAGUGUAGAAAAGAGAAAAUUCAGGGCGUUUCAUGUGGUCCACAACAGGGAUAUCGUGUGCUGGCCCCAGGCGCUGAAAAGUCACUCAUUUAGUGGUACAUAGGGUGCUUCGUUGUGCAGUGGUUAGCACACUCGGCUCACGACUGAGAGAGCCCAGGUUUGAUUCCCGGGCGGAGUGGAAAAAUUUGGGCGGCUUUUCUGAUACCCUACGCCCCUGUCCACCCAGCAGUGAAUGGGUACCAGCGUGAAGAUGUCAGGUCGCGAUGCGGUCGGCGCACCUUCCAGAACGCCAACCAGGUGGUGGAGUUGACCACACGCACCAUUCCCAAGGCUCAACACCACCACCACCACCACCACCAGCGAGGACAUCAACACCAUUCACCACCACCAUUGAAACCAGAUCACACCACCACCACCAAGAUUGGCUACAGUGAAGGUCGUGGCAGAGAGUGUACUCAAACUCCUACUGUGAGCUACUCCUGAUGCCUGCGCCCUCACCACCCCUGUGAAGGACGCCCAGCUGACCCAACCCUCCUCAGUGUGUGAUGAUGCUGGGACCAAGAAGAAGAAGAAGAGGAAGAGGAGGAGAAGGAAGAAGAUGAUAAUUGCAACAGAAGAUCAGAAGAAGAAGAAGAAGAGGAGGAGGAAUGGAAGAAGAAGAACAAGAACAAGAACAAGAGGAGG